AAUGAACGUUGGCGGUGUGCUUAACACACGCAAGUCGAGCGAGAAAGUUUCUUCGGAAAUAAGUAGAGCGGCGAACGGGUGAGUAACGCGUGAGGAUCUACCCUUCAGUGAAGGAUACCCUUGAGAAAUUAAGGUUAAUACUGCAUACGUCCCUUUGUAACAAAAGGGAGAAAGAUGGCCUCUUGCUGUCGCUGAAAGAUGAACUUGCGUUCUAUUAGCUAGUUGGUGGGGUAAAGGCNCACCAAGGCGAUGAUGGAUAGCCGGCCUGAGAGGGUGAACGGCCACAUUGGAACUGAGAAACGGUCCAGACUCCUACGGGAGGCAGCAGUGAGGAAUAUUGCACAAUGGGCGAAAGCCUGAUGCAGCGACACCGCGUGAAGGAUGAAGGU
rnacentral:rRNA from 1 species